rnacentral:tRNA from 1 species
GAAAUAUAAUUAAUAUAUAGCUGCUAACUAAUUAUAAUAACGACAAAAACCGUUUAUAUUUCU